rnacentral:rRNA from 1 species
CAUUGAGCCUUGAUGUGUAGGAUAGGUGGGAGGCUUUGAAGCGUGGACGCCAGUCUGCGUGGAGCCAACCUUGAAAUACCACCCUUUAAUGUUUGAUGUUCUAACGUUGGCCCCUGACCGGGGUUGCGGACAGUGUCUGGUGGGUAGUUUGACUGGGGCGGUCUCCUCCCAAAGCGUAACGGAGGAGCACGAAGGUUAGCUAAUCCUGGUCGGACAUCAGGAGGUUAGUGCAAUGGCAUAAGCUAGCUUGACUGCGAGCGUGACGGCGCGAGCAGGUGCGAAAGCAGGUCAUAGUGAUCCGGUGGUUCUGAAUGGAAGGGCCAUCGCUCAACGGAUAAAAGGUACUCCGGGGAUAACAGGCUGAUACCGCCCAAGAGUUCAUAUCGACGGCGGUGUUUGGCACCUCGAUGUCGGCUCAUCACAUCCUGGGGCUGAAGUAGGUCCCAAGGGUAUGGCUGUUCGCCAUUUAAAGUGGUACGCGAGCUGGGUUUAGAACGUCGUGAGACAGUUCGGUCCCUAUCUGCCGUGGGCGCUGGAGAAUUGAGGGGGGCUGCUCCUAGUACGAGAGGACCGGAGUGGACGCAUCACUGGUGUUCGGGUUGUCAUGCCAAUGGCACUGCCCGGUAGCUAAAUGCGGAAGAGAUAAGUGCUGAAAGCAUCUAAGCACGAAACUUGCCCCGAGAUGAGUUCUCCCUGAGACUUUAAGUCUCCUGAAGGAACGUUGAAGACGACGACGUUGAUAGGCCGGGUGUGUAAGCGCAGCGAUGCGUUGAGCUAACCGGUACUAAUGAACCGUGAGGCUUAACCUUACAACGCCGAAG